AGAGUUUGAUCAUGGCUCAGGACGAACGCUGGCGGCGUGCUUAACACAUGCAAGUCGAACGGAAAGGCCCUUCGGGGUACUCGAGUGGCGAACGGGUGAGUAACACGUGGGUGAUCUGCCCUGCACUUUGGGAUAAGCCUGGGAAACUGGGUCUAAUACCGAAUACACCUCACUGGCUGCAUGGUUGGUGGGGGAAAGCUUUUGCGGUGUGGGAUGGGCCCGCGGCCUAUCAGCUUGUUGGUGAGGUUACGGCUCACCAAGGCGACGACGGGUAGUCGGCCUGAGAGGGUGACCGGCCACACUGGGACUGAGAUACGGCCCAGACUCCUACGGGAGGCAGCAGUGGGGAAUAUUGCACAAUGGGCGCAAGCCUGAUGCAGCGACGCCGCGUGGGGGAUGACGGCCUUCGGGUUGUAAACUCCUUUCAGCACAGACGAAGCGCAAGUGACGGUAUGUGCAGAAGAAGGACCGGCCAACUACGUGCCAGCAGCCGCGGUAAUACGUAGGGUCCGAGCGUUGUCCGGAAUUACUGGGCGUAAAGAGCUCGUAGGUGGUUUGUCGCGUUGUUCGUGAAAACUCACAGCUUAACUGUGGGCGUGCGGGCGAUACGGGCGGACUUGAGUACUGCAGGGGAGACUGGCAUUCCUGGUGUAGCGGUGGAAUGCGCAGAUAUCAGGAGGAACACCGGUGGCGAAGGCGGGUCUCUGGGCAGUAACUGACGCUGAGGAGCGAAAGCGUGGGGAGCGAACAGGAUUAGAUACCCUGGUAGUCC
rnacentral:rRNA from 1 species